ensembl:lincRNA Gm20442 predicted gene 20442
UUCAGGUAGGAACAGAGCUUCCUGGCUGGGCGUGCCUGAGAGAUUUGGCCAUUCAGUUCCUCGGAGCAGGCGUUCCAGCCUCUGGUGGCCGGUGCUGGGAUCACAGAGCUCUCAAUUUAGGUGGCCCUGAGUUUCAGGAUUCACUGACUCCCGGAAGUGAUUCUAGAUGCGACUGCUUGUGGCUACUGAGGUUGUCCUCGGAGGCCAAAGGCGUCAGAUACGACACCUGGAAGUUGAAUUUACAGAAUUGCCAGCUGCCCAACAUGGAUUCUUGGAACCAAACCUUUAGAAUUCAACAAACAAACAACCCAGGGGGCUGGAGAGAUGGCUCAGCACUCAAGAGCACUGACUGCUGCUCUUCCAGAGGUCCUGAGUUCAAUUCCCAGCAACCACAUGGUGGUUCACAACCAUCUGUAAUGAGUUCCAAUGCCCUCUUCUGGUGUGUCUGAAGACAGCGACAUAAAAUGAAUAAAUCUUUUUAAAAACCCAA